UCCGGACCUGACUGCUAUCGGAUUGAUACUAAGCCAUGCGAGUCAUUGUAGCAAUACAAGGCAGACGGCUCAGUAACGCGUAGUCAACCUACCCUAUGGACGGGAAUAACCUCGGGAAACUGAGUAUAAUGCCCGAUAGAACAUUAUACCUGGAAUGGUUUAUGUUCCAAAUGAUUUAUCGCCGUAGGAUGGGACUGCGGCCUAUCAGUUUGUUGGUGAGGUAAUGGCCCACCAAGACUAUUACAGGUACGGGCUCUGAGAGGAGUGGCCCGGAGAUGGGUACUGAGACACGGACCCAGGCCCUAUGGGGCGCAGCAGGCGAGAAAACUUUGCAAUGUGCGAAAGCACGACAAGGUUAAUCCGAGUGGUUUCUGCUAAAGGAACCUUUUGUCAGUCCUAGAAACACUGAUGAAUAAGGGGUGGGCAAGUUCUGGUGU
rnacentral:rRNA from 1 species